UGAUUGUGUGCUUGAUGGAUUUAUGUGUUAUUAUUAUUAUUAGAUUAGAUUUAUUUAUUUAUUAUUACUGGCUUUCUUUGUUGCUAUAUCCUGUUGUAAGAGUCGUUACUUUCUUAUCGAUGGGCAUACUGAAAAUGCUGGGAUUAAAAAGAAGAAGGUUUGUUGCAAGAUUGUACUUUUUUUAUAAGAUUUCUUCAUAUGCUGUUUCAGUUUUGUUUGCUACCAUUUUAGCAAGGACUUAUAGAUUUAUAGCGGCGAUUGUAUCCCAACUCUUAGUAUAAAAUACUCUUAAAUUAAGUACUGUUAAGAUUAAUUAUGUUAAGUUGCAUUCAGUUUUUUCGUAAUAAUAGUACAGAGAAUAUUUGGUUAAAUUAAGCUUCUUCUUUCAAUUUGGUUUUCUUCUCUUUGUUCACCAUUGAAGCUUUCAAUUUGGUUUUCUUCUCUUUGUUCGCCAUUGAAGCUUAUAUUAGGGUUAUUUUGCGGUAUUCCUGGAGAAAUUCACUCGGGUUUGAAGGUGUCAGUGAGUUGGGUGUAUCUGUUGUGAAGAAUUUUGCAUGUGGGAGAAGUUCAGGGAAUUCCACUUCUGGAGCUGAUUCUACUGAAUCUAAGGAAAAAGGGAGAGCUUAAUUGUUUGCUGAAAAGGUCAUUGUAUCCACCAAGCACAAUGAUGACGAGCAGUUCGUUUGGGAGUCUCAAGCUGGUGGUUCCUUCACUGCCACAAGGGACACUACUGGUGAACAACUUGGAAGGGGUACUAAGAUCACCCUUUUCCUCAAGGAAAAUCAGUGUUGAUAGAUUGAGAAGCAAACCAACUACAGCCACAACUUCAUCUCCCUCCUCCUCUUCUCCUGAGCUCUCCAUGUUUUGCUCUUACUCCUGUGUUGAAGCCCGCUGUUGAGGGAAAUAUAGAAAGGAGAAAUUCUCAACGUUAUUCGCCCUUCGCACUGAAGCGACUUAUGGGGUUCUACUCCUUCAUGAGAUACCAAUUGCACCUUUUUGAGUACUAAGAUGGCUAGAAGUUAAUUCAAAUUCAAGCACCCUUGUGGUUCGUACAAUUUCUUUUUUCUGUGCCCUUUCAAAUUUUGAAUUUUUGGUGUAAUUUGAAUGUUUGAUGAUCAAUUUUUGUGGAAUAUGCAUCUGGGUUUGUUGUUUGUAUGAAUCUUGGAAGCAAAUUGUCUUAAUUGAUAAUUUACGUGAUUCUAAUUGAUGAUUAUAAUUGCUCACCAAUAAGAUGGGUCCAAUUUUAAGAAUAAUUUUUGAGGCAAGUAUAAUUAUAAUUCGUACUCCUAAUAAUACAACACUAUUCAUAAGCAUUUUUAGAAGUAAAAUUUGAUUUAAAUGCUUUUGAUUUGAAUUAUUAUAGACCCUUUAAUUAUAUAGUUGCUGGUGAAAAAAAAUUAAUGAUGCUCAUACGCUAACAUAAACAAGCCUUAAUUGAGAUGGAGUUUGAUACAAUAACUUUUUAGAUGUUAGCUAUAGAGAUUAUUGAGAUGUAAUACCUGGGAAAUCUAUAUAGGUUACAAUGUCUGCCAGUGGCUAUAGAGUUCUCAUCAUUGGUCCUGAAUGGAAGAGCUUGUAUGAUAUUUGGUUUCGUGUGGAGAGCUUGUAUCAUAUUUGUUUGAGUUAACUAACAUUCUUGCUUCAACUGUGUUAAGCUGUUGCUACAAUUUUUUGCUGAAUUCCUGCCUUGAUUUAGCAUAAAGGCCCUUGUUUGUAGCUUAUCAUUUUAGUAAAGAGUGGUUGCACAAUUAUAAUGUGUUGGUUUUUUUAUGUAAGAGUAGCUUAUGUAAAGACACUGACAUGUGAAGGAGGAGACCUCACCACAUUGAUUAAGGAGCAAUUAUGUGACCCCAUGGGAAAUUUGUACUCUAAAUUGCUGAAGGAAGUCUAUUGAAAAGGAGCCUGCUGCCGAUGUUGGUUCAUCAGGUGCUGCUGUUGAUGUUGUUUCAGCAAGGCCUGCUGCUGAUGUUGGAUCAACAGGGCCUGCUGCUGACUGCUGAUGUUGGUUCAUCAGAGGUAUUAGUUGGUACUAAGGUUAAAGGGAAAAAGGUUGAAAAAGGAUUGAAAGAAAAACAGAAGAUUAAGUUGGAGGAGACGAAAUCCAGCAACGAAGGGGAAAAUUUGAAGUCUCGUGUUUAUAGGACAUUACAUAGUCGGAUGUCCCCUUCAUCCAUAGUUCAAGUUAUUGAAAAAUGUUCAGAAAAUCAGUUGAAAGCUAUUAGAGCAAUAGGAUUCGGGUCUAUGGAGUUCUUGAAGAGAUAAGAGAGUGAUUCAGCAAUGGAAGAAGCAAUUCAAAAGCAACUCACUCUCUAUCAAAAUAGGGAAGCUGAAAGAGUUUCUGAAAUAAAAUUAAUUAUAUCAUCAGGAAAAGGUGGAGAGUCAACAUCAAGGGAAACAAAAUGUGAAUAUCAAUUCUGAUAUUCUCACAUUUCUUUCUGAUGUUGAUAAAAUAAAGGACUUGAAUUGGUGCAAGUAUAUCCUUGAUUCACUUGUGAAUGCCAAGCUUUUCUGGGAAGAACGUCAAACUCGUUCUUUUCUUGGGUCUUUACUGUUUCUUAUGCUUUUAUAUGUUCAUCAGUUAGAGCCAAACGAGAAACUCCACUUCUCAAAGGUUGAACAACCAAUAUGUUGUCAAGUCGUGAGAAAUUGGAAAUUUUUAAGGGGAGGCUUGGAAUUUUUGAUAAAAAUCAGAAGCUUGUUGGUCCUUCUGGCAGCAAUCAACCAAAAAUGGAACAAUCUGAUCCAAUUCAUACAAAAAAUGAAGAAAUUGAACAAGAUCCGAAGAAGAAAUGCCUUAUGGAGCUUGCAACAACAUCUACAAAUCUAAUCUUGGCAUACAUGGAUUUCAGUCAAAAACAUGAAACUGCUGUUAAGUAUUUUCCAAACAAUAAGAAGAUGCAAUGACCAUUUGUGAUGAGCAGAAGAUGAGCUCUAAAGCUUUGACUGAAGAUAUUUUUCUCUCAUUUAGCCAAGAUGAACAGUAUUGGCAAGAUCCAGCUGUAAUUGAAGCUUGGGAUGGGUUUUCAAAGAUUUCAGGCAAUGACAAGCAUGUUGAAUCUACAAUUAAUGCUAGGGUUGAUCAUCUGAUUGAAUCAGAACCAAUUAAUGUUACUAAGAUUGCUUGAAUGUGUUCACAUAGCAAGUGGUAUACAGCUCCAUCUGUUAUCAUACAGCCUAAGGUUGCUGAACAUGUGUUUAAAAAACUUGGAGAGUCAAGUAUGAGAUAUAGUUUAAGAAGUUCAGUUGCCAAAGGAUAUGGAACUCCUUCAUUUUGCUUAGGAAUCUCUUCUCAAGAAACUGAUUCUCAGAUGAACCUGUAGUUGCUCCUGUCAGUGCACAAGUUGGUGCUUCUAAAUCAGUUGUUGCUGCUGUUGCUGUGAAUGCUCAAGAAGAUCCAAUUGCGCUUAAGAGAAAAGGAGAUGCUGAAAAUGAGAGUUGUAUUCCAAAGAAGCGUAAAGUGCAACCAUCGUUGCAGAUAAGAUCUCUUUUUAAGUCUCGGAUUAUCAACAUAUAUACACCAUUAACAGCAGUUCAGAAAGGUGUUAUGGAUUCAUUUUUUCAUGAGAAGAAAAAUCGUUUUGAUGCAGGUUUUUAUGCGAGGGUGAGCCUGAUAGUGAAGUAAUGCUAUUUCAACUUGAAAUGCUAAAAACUCAGAGCAAAAUUCAUGGCGAUAUCAUUAAUGCAUGGUCUACUGUUCUGAAUUAUAAUGAGCAAUAUAGAGAUAUCAAUUCUAGUGGACGUUUCUUUUUCGGUCUUAAUGCAGUUGAUUGCCUUUUUCAAUACGAAAGCGAUCGUGCUCAAGAAAGGAAUAAAAUGUUUUGUGAGGUUGUGGAGUUGGAAUUCAGCAAAACAAUCAUCCUAAAGAAAGAUAUUGAGCUUUUCUUUUUCCCAGUAUUUGAAAAAAAUCAUUAUUAUCUGGUAUGUUUUAACACCACCACAGACCGUGGUACAAUUGAGGUUAUUGAUUACAGUGAUGGUCCUAGAGAAAAUAAGAAAUUGCUUAAAAAUCUGAGAAGUGCAUUUUCAUAUUUCAUGGAUGGUGAAGGAAGUAUACAAAGUGUUGUUUUGUCAAAACAGAUCAAGUCUAUGGAGUCUGUACUGAUUGAUUUAUCCUGGAAGUCUUCAAAUGAUCAUCAUUUGUAUUGUGGUGUUGCAAUGAUGAGGCAUAUGGAAACAUAUAUGGGUUUGCAAAAGUGGAAUUCAGGUUUAAAGAAAAAUAAUUUAAGUCUUUCACAUUUCAUGCUUGUUGUUGCAACUUACAGGCUAUGUUCCUCUCAUAUGAGUAUUAAAUGUGUUGGAGAGCACUUAAUUGCUGCAAAUCCUGUUGGACAUAAUUAUUGAAAAACUUCGUUUGAAGUAUACCUUCUCAAUUAUUUCAAGUGAAGUAAAUACUGUUAAACCUGCUAAACAAGUUGUCCAAAAGAAAAAAAAAAAGGCUGAGGAAGCAAGUGAUGCUGAAGAAAGCUAGGGGCAGCAAUCCAAGAGCAAUCAACGGAGAGAGUUAAAGACUGAAGUUGAUCAAUUGUUAUGAUGUUCUUAGGAUUUGUAUAGUUUUUGUAUAGAACAAUAGAAGUGUUAGUUUUAUGAUGUUUUAAUAGGACAAAUGUGACAAAUGUUCUUAGUUGAUCAAAUGUUUUUAUGAUGUUGUUAGGAUUUUCUAAGUAUAACUUUUGCUAUGUCAAUGUAAUGGAUAUCAUUUUCUAUCUUAUUAA